rnacentral:rRNA from 1 species
UAGUGAUUAACGCGAAGAACCUUACCCAGGCUUGAACUGCGAGUGACAUCCUACGAAAGUAGGCUUCCGCAAGGACGCUCGUAGAGGUGCUGCAUGGCUGUCGUCAGCUCGUGUCGUGAGAUGUUGGGUUAAGUCCCGCAACGAGCGCAACCCUUGUCCGCUGUUGCCAUCAGGUUACGCUGGGCACUCUGCGGAGACUGCCGGUGAUAAACCGGAGGAAGGUGGGGAUGACGUCAAGUCAGCAUGGCCUUUAUGUCUGGGGCUACACACGUGCUACAAUGGCCGGUACAAACCGUCGCGAUCUCGCAAGAGGGAGCUAAUCGGAGAAAACCGGUCUCAGUUCGGAUUGCAGGCUGCAACUCGCCUGCAUGAAGUUGGAAUCGCUAGUAAUCGCGGAUCAGCACGCCGCGGUGAAUACGUUCCCGGGCCUUGUCACACCGAAUCGAAUUCC